GAACGCCGUGUGCGGUGAAAGUCGCACGCACGGUGUGGAGCGGGGGAAAAUCUGGAGAUAAUACCAAAGGAUUACCUAUCGCUAU
rnacentral:ncRNA from 1 species